ACAUGCAAGUCGAACGAUGAAACCUAGCUUGCUAGGUGGAUUAGUGGCGCACGGGUGAGUAAUAUAUAGGUAAUGUGCCUCUUAGUCUGGGAUAGCCAUUGGAAACGAUGAUUAAUACUGGAUACUCCUUCUAACUCUAAUGUUAGUCGGGAAAGUUUUUCGCUAAGAGAUCAGCCUAUAUCCCAUCAGUUAGUUGGUAAGGUAACGGCUUACCAAGGCAAUGACGGGUAGCGGGUUUGAGAGGAUGAUCCGCCACACUGGUACUGAGACACGGACCAGACUCCUACGGGAGGCAGCAGUGAGGAAUAUUGCACAAUGGGGGAAACCCUGAUGCAGCAACGCCGCGUGGAGGAUGACGCAUUUCGGUGUGUAAACUCCUUUUAUAUGUCAAGAAAAUGACGGUAGCAUAUGAAUAAGCACCGGCUAACUCCGUGCCAGCAGCCGCGGUAAUACGGAGGGUGCAAGCGUUACUCGGAAUCACUGGGCGUAAAGGACGCGUAGGCGGAUUGGAAAGUCAGAUGUGAAAUCCUACAGCUUAACUGUAGAACUGCAUUUGAAACUUCUAAUCUAGAGUAUGGGAGGGGGAGAUGGAAUUAGUGGUGUAGGGGUAAAAUCCGUAGAUAUCACUAGGAAUACCGAAAGCGAAGGCGAUCUCCUGGAACAUUACUGACGCUAAGGCGUGAAAGCGUGGGGAGCAAACAGGAUUAGAUACCCUGGUAGUCCACGCCCUAAACGAUGAACACUAGUCGUCGGGAUGCUUGUCAUCUCGGUGAUGCACUUAACAGAUUAAGUGUUCCGCCUGGGGAGUAC
rnacentral:rRNA from 1 species